rnacentral:rRNA from 1 species
UACGUAGGCAGCAAGCGUUGUUCGGAAUUACUGGGCGUAAAGAGUGUGUAGGCGGUGCUCUAAGUUCGGUGUGAAAUCUCCCGGCUCAACUGGGAGGGUGCGCCGGAAACUGGAGUGCUGGAGCGCGGGGAGAGGAAAGCGGAAUUCCUGGUGUAGCGGUGAAAAUGCGUAGAUAUCAGGAGGAACACCCGGCGGUGUAGACGGCUUUUC